AAUUGGGACAAGCUUUGGUGUAAGCUUCUUGCAAACCAGAGCUUCCCUCAAGAAGACUCGUGGUUCCGACACGGAAUGUGUCACCUACGUGUGCGAAAGUAGAUACGUAUAUUGCCUUCUCCCGCCUUAAUUUUUUUACACAGGCAGAUUAGAUCAAAUAGAGGAAUCGUGCUAAAUUUUUGGAUUAAUCUGGGUCCGUUUGGCAUUUUUAUGCAUUAAUUCAGUUUCUGGGCAUUUAAUGUGCAUAA